UACUGCUCACACCCACAGUCAAAGUUUGCUGCAAAAAAACUUUAGAGAAUACUUUUUUUCCCCUCAUUUUUUCCAGCUUUGGGCCUGAAAAUCUGAGUGGGGGUGACUACUUACUUUGGGGUAUUUCUGUAUUCCUCUUCAGCUCCUGACAAUAUCAUAAACUCUAUCUUGUGUUUCCCUACUAGAUUUUCAUUUUAUAGAUGAGGAAAUUGAGGCACAGGGGAAUGACAGUAAUUCUGUGAUAGCCAGGCUUAGAAUUUGGUUGUCUGCUUCACAGCCCUUGCAAUUAGAUUUUACUUUGGGUUCUUUUGCUAAAAGUGGGAAAAUGUGGUUUUGUUGACAGAAUGUAGGGCUGGAAUCAGGAAAUCUGGAUUCUUCUUGGCUUCACAGUCAACUAACUUCUCUGAACUUUGUGUAUGUGUGGGUUUUUUUUUUUUUUUUAGGGCUGCACCUGUGGCAUAUGAGAGUUCCCAGGCUAGGGAUCUAAUCGGAGCUGCAGCUGCGGGCCUAUACCACCUCCACAGCAAUGCCAGAUCCUUACCCAUUGAGUGAGGCCAGGGAUCAAACCCAUCACCUCACAGAUACUAGUCAGGUUCUUAACACACUGAGGCACAACAGGAACUCCUGAGCUUUAGUUUUUCCGCUUACUUCAUUGACUGGCUAGGGGGAAAUUAGAUCAGGUAGGUAAAGUGAGAAAUUUUAAUAUAAUAGCAAGCCGGUUAGGUAGACUCCUGUGUUGUCUGGGGUAGAGGUGGGGAGAUUACUUAUUUGAGUAAAGAAAAGUCAGAUAUGGCUGUGGAAACCUCAGUGGCCUUGAGGCCUAGGGAGUCUCUAAUCUGCCCCAUUGCUCUAGCCUCCGUCGUCUGGAAGUUGAGUGGUAGGGAGGGGAUGGGAUACCAGUAGGAAAGCUAGCUGAAAAUUGUGUGGGCAGCUCUUUGCCUUGCUGGUACUUGGGGAUGAUGUGGACAGUUCAGGUGGCAGUGACCUGCAUCAGAGUCCUUCAUUAGUACUUUCUGUACUUUCCAGAAGAGUUACUCUGUGGUGUGCUUUUGUGGGGCUGUUGGUGGGUGUUGGGUGAGUGCUCUGGGGAUAGGAAACCAAGCUACUCCAACUGGUUUCUCUUCAGGAGGCAAACCAGUUACUUCAUCUUUCUUCUCAGGAACCUCAUAGCCACAUCCCAACAGUAUUACUGACAAAAGCCUUGCUUCCUACAGAGAUGUCAAGUCUGUUACAUUUGGGCAGAAAAAACUCUUUCCAGUGUUGUCCUGUUCACACUUGUUUUAGUUUCUUAUUGCUUCUGUAACAAAUGACUGCACAGUUAGUGGCUUAAAAUAACACAAAUUUAUUGUCUUAUAGUUCCAGGGGUUAGAAGUCUGAAAUCCUUAUCACACAGUUAAAAUCAAAGUGUUGGCUAUAUGGCUUUCAUUUUGCAGGUUCUGGGGGAGAGUCUGUUUCCUUGCCUUUUCCCACCUCUUGGGGCUGCCUGCAUUCCUUGCCUUGUGGUCUCUUCCACCAUCUUCAAAACCAACAGUGUGUUUGUUGAGCCUUUCUUGCUGUGACACAUCUCUGAUUCUGACUCUUUUGCCCCUCUCUUCUCCACUUAGACUCUUGUGACUACGCUAAGCCUACCAGGAUAAUCCAGGAUAGUCUCCCCAUCUCAAGAUCCUUGACUCAAUCACAUAUGAAAAGUCCAUUUUGCCAUAUAAAGUAGCAUAGUCACAUGUUCCAGGGAGUAGGAUUUGGGCAUCUUUUGAGGGGGUAUUAUUUUGCUACCACUGUACCCCAGUGGUUAUUAGUUACCUAUUGCUUCUUAACAAGUUACCUCCAAAUUUCAUGGCUCAAACAAUGACCACUGACUGUUUCACCAUUCCUAUUGCUAAGAAAUUUGUUACCCCUGGCUGAGAGUCUCUCAUGAGGCUGUAGUUGGCAGGAGCUGUAGACAUCUCAAGGCUUGAUGGGGGAGGAUUCGCUUCUAAGUUCACUCACACGGCUGUUGGCCACCCUUGGGUUGUUGUAGGCUGUUGGCUAGAGAUGUCCAUUCCUUGGCCUCUCCAUUCAGCAGUAGCUCACAAUAUUGCAGCUGAACUCCUCCAGAGUGAGAGAAUAUGAGAGAAAAAGAGAGCACAGAAGAUGGAAGCCACAGUGUUUUUAUAACCAAAUAUUGGAAGUGACCUUCCAUUACUUCUGCCAUAUUCUAUUAGCAAUGAGUCAGUAAAUCCAGCCCACACUCAGAGAGAGUAGAUUACAGAAGAGUAUCAUCAGAAAGUGGGGAUCAAAUUUGGGGCCAUUUUAGAGGUUGCAUAAUCCAGCAAUCACACAUAGCACUUCUCUUAGGGAAGGGUGAUCCCUUGUGAUCAGAGAUGAGACCUCCAAGAUUUCAGGAGGAGAAAUAAGACUUUAAAGACCCCAUCUCAAGGCAUAGGAGAGUGAGAUAUUGGGGAGGGUGUGGUUAGGUAGGUGGUUGUAGAACUUUCUUCCAUCUAAGUCAGUGAUUCUCUAACUUAGGAGGUAUAUUGGAAUUAUCUAGAAAGCCAGAUAAAAGGCCAACACCUGAGCUCCAAAAUAAUAGGUUCUUAUUCCGUUGGACUGGGGUAGAAUCCAUAAAUCUGCCUUUUUAAAGAGAACUCUCAAAGCAAUUCUGAUUUGCAUCAAAGAUUAAGAAACUUUGAACUGAAGAGUUUGCUGAUGUCUAAAAGAUGGGAUUUGGAGAUACCAUGGAACUUUUUGAAGUCUAAAUCUUCCAGAUAAUGAUGAUGAUGAUGAUAAGAAUUAUUAUUUAUGUGAAUACAUAAUACUUGGCAGGCACUAUCUCAUGGGUCUCAGUUUCUCCAUUUACAAAAUGAAGAGAAGGAUAUCAAUCCAACAGGGAGAGAGUAAAGCCUAAAUGAUUUAAGUAUGUAUGAACUUGGUAAAUGUUUGAUUUACACCAGCCCCAUUCUGUUUUGGCCAUCCCUGUGCUCCUUUUGGGGAGCUGAAAUACAAUAGAUCAUACCCAUCCCACUGCACUAGCACAUUGGAAAUGCUAGAAAAGGGUGAGUGAACUCAGAGACACCACCAAUGGACAUUGUGUAGUGACCACAGGUCCGAUGGGCUUCCCAGCAGGCCAUAAUGCAGGCCUGGGCUGGGGUGAGGCCAGUUUGUAUGGUGUACCAGGUCUUCCAAUAAAAAAGGCUUGGACCAGCAGCCCAAGCCAAGAGCAAUGAUCAGGCUACUUUUACUUCCAGGUGAUAGAGCUGAAUCUGUUCCUCUUCUUAGAGGAGCAGUCUGUGCCAGGCAUGGCUGUACCUCUGAGGCCCCGGCUACUUCUUGCCAUGAUGAAUGAACUUUGUUGACAAUUAUUCCCAGCCUUCCCAGACUUAUUAGGCUUCUCCAGAGCUACUGGGUAGUCUGGCCUUGGGUUAGGGUGGAUGUGACUUUUUGUGGGCAGGACUAUUGGCCCCCUGCUUACAUCAUCACUUGGUUCAAGCAGAGGCAUGCCUGUACUAGUCUCCUCUCGUAGCCCUAAGUAGAAAAGUAGAAAGGGCUGGUGGCCUAAGCCAUCUUAUUUGUUCUUGCAUUAGUAGGGAAACUGAGGCAGAGUGUAGGGCCUUCUGCACUUACAGAGGGCAUGAGCUUUGGCUACAUUUGGGAAUUUCCAAGCCUCCUGGAAACUAUAGCCCAGUGAAGAUACUCAUGAACUGACUGUUCUCUGUGUUCGUUUCUGCCAGAAGCUGGGUGCCUAGGAACUGGUAACAAGGAGAAAGAAGUUAUGUAGUUCUAGUUUCAAAGAGUCCAGGUUCAAGACUCAAAAGAGUUUUGCAAUAUUGCAGGGGAAAAAAGCACCCUUUAAAUCCUGUUUUUGCCAUUAAUUUGCUGUGUUACUUUAGGCAAGUUCACUUAACCUGUCUCAGUCUUCGUUUUCUUAUUUGUGACAUGGAUGUAUCAGUCAGCCUAGGCUCAUGCUGCAGUAACAAACAACCCUCAAAUCCCAUUUGCUUAAUACAGCAAAGAUUUAUUUAUUUAUUUAUUUAUUUAGUCUUUUUGCCUUUUCUAGGGCUACACCCGCGGCAUAUGGAGGUUCCCAGGCCAGGGGUCCAGUCGGAGCUGUAGCCACCGGCCUACGCCACAGCCACAGCAACUCGGGGAUCUGAGCCGUGUCUGCGACCUACACCACAGCUCAUGAGCAAGGCCAGGGAUCAAACCCACAAUCUCAUGGUUCCUAGUCAGAUUCGUUAACCACUGAGCCACAACGGGAUCUCCAGAUUUAUUUCUUAUUCAGUUUUUGUGUCCAUCUUGGGACUGCUGAGAGUUCUGCUACCUCUUGUCUUUAUUCUAGGACAGAGAAGGACAAAAAUAGUUACCAUCAGAAACAUCGCCAAUUUCUUUGGCAGUGGGACAGAGACUGGAGGCAAAUGAUGGUACACUGGUUCUAAUAGCUUCCACCUGGGGGUAACACUCAUUAUUUUGCUUGUGUUUCAUUGGUUAGAACAAGUCACAGGGUCACCUCUAACUCCAAGGAUGUAGGGUUCAGUCUUACCACAUGCCCAGAAAGUGGAAGAUUUGGAAAGGUUUGAAUCUCAGUGAAUAUUGUCAACUUUCCCACAAGGUUAUUAUAAAGAUUAAAGGAGAUAAUGAAUAAAAAAAUCACUUUGCAAAUAAUAGACACAAGUAAUAUGUUUUUCAAGUAACAUUUAGGGGGCAGUGUUUAUGUAACUAACACCCUGGUAGAUAUUUUGUAAUAGGUGCACGCCCCAGACAGAACUCUGGAAGGGAGUGGCUCACCUGGUUUUGCUCCCUCUUGGCACUGGAGUCUUAACUGUAAAUCAUCAGGUAGGGCCCACUAGCGCAGGUAUGUGUGUGGAACAAGAGCUCUUCUUCAUUGGAGACUGUCCAGAGUAUUUCUUGGGAAGGACUUACUCUUGUCACAGCCGACCAAUGAUCUCCACAAACAGAGAAAACAUAGGCUGUCCUGAUGUUGGUCUCUGCGUACUCCUUACUAAGGAACAGGUUGGGCCUCUGGGCUCAGUGGAUUUGAGACUGGUGGCAGUCUGGUGUGGACUCUGGUCCCAGGGCCCCUCUGUACUCCUGUUGUCUGGGAUCCAUUCUGUGCUGAGAUACCUGCUUCUUGCUUUGAGGCCCUUGAAGUGGGAAUUCUUUGGCAAUCGGGGAAGGUCCUGUGAUAUUAAAGUUGCCAGUCCCCAUCAGUGGCUUCUCUGGAAGGAAGAAAAACCCUUUGAGGGAGUUCUUCUAUGGUGCAGCAGGUUAAAGAUCUGGUGUUACUGCAGCAGCUUGGGUU
rnacentral:lncRNA from 1 species